AGCUGUUUUGGGACUACAGUUCCCAUCAUCCCUGACCACUGGGCCUGUUGGCUAGGGGUGGUGGGAUUUGUAGUCCCAAAACAGCU
rnacentral:miRNA from 1 species